CAAGGCUUGACAUACACCGGAAACGGCCAGAGAUGGUCGCCCCCUUGUGGUCGGUGUACAGGUGGUGCAUGGCUGUCGUCAGCUCGUGUCGUGAGAUGUUGGGUUAAGUCCCGCAACGAGCGCAACCCUUGUUCUGUGUUGCCAGCAUGCCCUUCGGGGUGAUGGGGACUCACAGGAGACUGCCGGGGUCAACUCGGAGGAAGGUGGGGACGACGUCAAGUCAUCAUGCCCCUUAUGUCUUGGGCUGCACACGUGCUACAAUGGCCGGUACAAAGAGCUGCGAAACCGUGAGGUGGAGCGAAUCUCAAAAAGCCGGUCUCAGUUCGGAUUGGGGUCUGCAACUCGACCCCAUGAAGUCGGAGUUGCUAGUAAUCGCAGAUCAGCAUUGCUGCGGUGAAUA
rnacentral:rRNA from 1 species